UGAAUGAGCUGACUCCUUAAGGUGAGUUGGAGUCAUUGAGUCAAUUCCUAUAAAUUUGCAGAGUUACCCACCCUUAAUACAAUAAGAUUGCUUGAU